rfam:Anolis carolinensis chromosome 3, whole genome shotgun sequence.
GUGAGGGCGAUCUGGCUGCAACAUCUGUCACCCCAUUGAUCACCAGGGUUGAUUCAGCUGAUCUGGCUGCCUAGGCGGGGGUCCACUCAGUGGAAGAGGACGACAUCCCAGGUAUAGAAGGAGUGUACCGAGGUCUCCAGUCUUCGGUCCUAGAUAUACGAUAGCUGCUCUCCCGUACUAGAACCUCCAAAUAAGCUCAAGAUCCUGAGACUCAGGCUUACACCUUGAGACUCAGGUCCAAGGAAAGGUGGUCUUCUUUUCUGU